AUUGAACGCUGGCGGCAUGCUUUACACAUGCAAGUCGAACGGCAGCGCGGGCUUCGGCCUGGCAGCGAGUGGCGAACGGGUGAGUAAUACAUCGGAACGUGCCCAGUAGUGGGGGAUAGCUCGGCGAAAGCCGGAUUAAUACCGCAUACGACCUGAGGGUGAAAGCGGGGGAUCUUCGGACCUCGCGCUAUUGGAGCGGCCGAUGGCAGAUUAGCUAGUUGGUGGGGUAAAGGCCUACCAAGGCGACGAUCUGUAGCUGGUCUGAGAGGACGACCAGCCACACUGGGACUGAGACACGGCCCAGACUCCUACGGGAGGCAGCAGUGGGGAAUUUUGGACAAUGGGCGAAAGCCUGAUCCAGCAAUGCCGCGUGUGUGAUGAAGGCCUUCGGGUUUAAAGCACUUUUGGCGGGAACGAAAAGGACUGUGCCAAUACCACGGUUCGAUGACGGUACCCGCAGAAUAAGCACCGGCUAACUACGUG
rnacentral:rRNA from 1 species